rnacentral:rRNA from 1 species
AUUGAACGCUGGCGGCAGGCCUAACACAUGCAAGUCGAGCGGAGCGGCGGACGGGUGAGUAAUGCCUAGGAAUCUGCCUGGUAGUGGGGGAUAACGUCCGGAAACGGGCGCUAAUAGCGCAUACUAUCCGAUGAGCCUAGGUCGAAUUAGCUAGUUGGUGGGGUAAAGGCCUACAAAGGCGACGAUCCGUAACUGUUCUGAGAGGAUGAGCAGUCAAUCGGGAACGGGUACACGGUCCAGACUCCUACGGUAGGCAGACGUGGGGAAUAUUGGACAAUGGGCGAAAGCCUGAUCCAGCCAUGCCGCGUGUGUGAAGAAGGUCUUCGGAUUGUAAAGCACUUUAAGUUGGGAGGCGUUACCAACAGAAUAAGCACCGGCUAACUUCGUGCCAGCAGCCGCGGUAAUUC